rnacentral:lncRNA from 1 species
GUUCAUCUUCCAGCUUCUUAGAUUUUUUCGUCAACUGACGAACUUUCCUUCUGAGGUCUCGGAUCGUCGACUUCAGCGGGAUCCCCUGUGGCAGGGGGAGAGCUUCAACAGGACCCUGUCGUUGGGAGGCAGAAGCGCCGCGGCUCAGAUUAGUACAAGAAGACAAAAGAUAAGGAAAAGAAUACGAAAAAAAAAGGACCCUCUGUAAAGAAGGAUCCGAUUUCAUUGAUUAAAUGAUUUUCAAGUACAAGAGAACGGAAAAAAAAUCACCACAAAAGAAAAAUACAUAGCUAGAGGUUCCGGACCUCUGGGGCAGAAGUAGAGGGGCUCGACGUCCCCGGAAGAUCGUCAGCGGCGGCCGCGGCGGUCGACGAGGUCCCGACUGGAGGAGGACCGACAGCGGCUUCGGAUGGUCCGGCUUCAUCAUCGGAUGCCUCGUUCAGGAAGCCGAGAUCCAGUUCGGAAAACUUUCCAGCCACCUCUUGACAGAGUUCGAAACCCUUGAUGAAGGCGUCCUAGCCGAACUGGACCUUUAGAUCCUCCAUCUCGAAGGAGGCCUUAAACUCCUCCACUGCUCGGGCCCCUACCUCCGAAAUCAGGGAAGGAAUCCGCGCUUUCAGCUCGAAAACCUGCGCCUUCAACUCGGAAGCCUACGCCUUCAGUUCGGAGAUUUCGGCCUUAGCCUUCUUUCCCUCCUCCAAGGCGGUCCUCAGAUCGGACGAGGUUUGUCCCUCCUUUUCCAAUGCCUCUUGGAGACUUAGGACCUCGACGAUCUUCUCCUCGAGGCGGACGGCCCCAGCCAGGCGACCCUCCUCCGCCCGAGCUGCCUCCCUCUUGACGAUCUUCACCGC